rnacentral:rRNA from 1 species
UGGGUCCAGCCUGCCCAGUGAACUUUUAACGGCCGCAGUACCCUGACUGUGCAAAGGUAGCAUAAUAAUUUGUCUUAUAAUUGAAGACUAGAAUGAACGGUUAAAUGCAAAUAAAUCUGUCUCUUAUGUAAUACUAAAAAUUAAUUUAUUGGUCCAAAAGCCAAUAUACAGUAAAUAGACGAGAAGACCCUAUUGAGCUUAAUUUUUAUUUAUACUAAUUAAUUUUCCUAUAAAAAUAAAAUUUUGUUGGGGCGACAAAGGAACUUACCUAGCUUCCUUUAAAAAUUACAUGHUAAAACUAAAUCGAUCCAUAAAUCGUGAUCAAAUAAUAAGUUACCAUAGGGAUAACAGCAUAAUUCUUUUUAAGAGCCCAAAUCGAAAAAAGAGUUUGUGACCUCGAUGUUGGACUAAGGUAACCAAAAAGUGCAACCGCUUUUUUAAAUAGUCUGUUCGACUAAUAA